UACGGGGGGGGCAAGCGUUGUUCGGAAUUACUGGGCGUAAAGGGCUCGUAGGCGGCCAACUAAGUCAGACGUGAAAUCCCUCGGCUUAACCGGGGAACUGCGUCUGAUACUGGAUGGCUUGAGUUCGGGAGAGGGAUGCGGAAUUCCAGGUGUAGCGGUGAAAUGCGUAGAUAUCUGGAGGAACACCGGUGGCGAAGGCGGCAUCCUGGACCGACACUGACACUGAGGAGCGAAAGCGUGGGGAGCGAACAGG
rnacentral:rRNA from 1 species